UUGACAUCCAGCGAACUUGGCAGAGAUGCCUUGGUGCCUUCGGGAACGCUGAGACAGGUGCUGCAUGGCUGUCGUCAGCUCGUGUUGUGAAAUGUUGGGUUAAGUCCGCAACGAGCGCAACCCUUAUCCUUUGUUGCCAGCGAUUCGGUCGGGAACUCAAAGGAGACUGCCGGUGAUAAACCGGAGGAAGGUGGGGAUGACGUCAAGUCAUCAUGGCCCUUACGAGUAGGGCUACACACGUGCUACAAUGGCGCAUACAAAGAGAAGCGACCUCGCGAGAGCAAACGGACCUCAUAAAGUGCGUCGUAGUCCGGAUCGGAGUCUGCAACUCGACUCCGUGAAGUCGGAAUCGCUAGUAAUCGUGGAUCAGAAUGCCACGGUGAAUACGUUCCCGGGCCUUGUACACACCGCCCGUCACACCAUGGGAGUGGGUUGCAAAAGAAGUAGGUAGCUUAACCCUCGGGAGGGCGCUUACCACUUUGUGAUUCAUGACUGGGGUGAAGUCGUAACAAGGUAGGCGUAGUGCU
rnacentral:rRNA from 1 species